AGUAAUACAUCGGAACGUGUCUUCUAGUGGGGGAUAACUGCCCGAAAGGGCAGCUAAUGCCGCAUGAGACCUGAGGGUGAAAGCGGGGAAUCGCAAGACCUCGCGCUGGAAGAGCGGCCGAUGUCCGAUUAGCUAGUUGGUGAGGUAAAGGCUCACCAAGGCGACGAUCGGUAGCUGGUCUGAGAGGACGACCAGCCACACUGGGACUGAGACACGGCCCAG
rnacentral:rRNA from 1 species